rnacentral:miRNA from 2 species
GCUGGGCAGGGCUUCUGAGCUCCUU